CUACGGGGUGCUCCAGUGUGGAAUCUUGGACAAUGGGCGCAAGCCUGAUCCAGCCAUGCCGCGUGAGUGAAGAAGGCCUUAGGGUCGUAAAGCUCUUUCGCCAGAGAUGAUAAUGACAGUAUCUGGUAAAGAAACCCCGGCUAACUCCGUGCCAGCAGCCGCGGUAAUACGGAGGGGGUUAGCGUUGUUCGGAAUUACUGGGCGUAAAGCGCGCGUAGGCGGAUUAGUCGGUCAGAGGUGAAAUCCCAGGGCUCAACCCUGGAACUGCCGUUGAUACUGCUAGUCUCGAGUUCGAGAGAGGUGAGUGGAAUUCCGAGUGUAGAGGUGAAAUUCGUAGAUAUUCGGAGGAACACCAGUGGCGAAGGCGGCUCACUGGCUCGAUACUGACGCUGAGGUGCGAAAGUGUGGGGAGCAAACAGGAUUAGAUACCCUCGUAGUC
rnacentral:rRNA from 1 species